GUUAGCAAACCACAUCUUUGGAAGCUUUAAGAUUAAAAAGUGAGAGAGGAAAAACUAGAAGGAGACACAAAAAGUAACCCUCUCAGGAGAGACCAGCAAAGGCCCGGCAGGGGAAAGACCUCACUUUUCAUCAGAAUACAUGCUUGUGGCAGAGCUCUCACUGGCAAAUUUCCCUGUACUAAUCUUGAAGAAGGAUCGAGGUAAGUAGCAUAUCAUCACAGAGGCAGGAGUCCUUCAGUCAAGGCAGGGUGUCUAUCAAAUACCUCCAGUAAACACCCUGCCAGGCAAGACUCAAAACUUGAUGUGUUACUAAACCAAAUCAAAGUUAUUUAUAACUUACCAAGUGCUAUUUUAUAAUCAUUUAAAGUAUUAAAUUACCUCUACCACCAUCAUCACACAUAGGACUAACACAGAAACAUGAAGAAAAUGGUUUGAAUCUUGUUUGAAAAAUUAACACGAUGAUAACCAUUUCAUAAAAUUGUCAUCAGAAAAUGACUAGGAAGGAAGAAGUCUGUGUACCUGUGUAUUUCAUUCUAUACAUUUUAAUUUGCAUUGGUAUAUAAACAUGCCAAAAAGUGCAAUUUUAUCAAUUAUCAAAGAUUUACUAAAAAAUGAGUAUGUGAUGACAACCUAGGUCAAGAAAACCCCCUCUAGGAAGUCCCUCUUGUAGCUCAGUGGUAAUGAACCUAUGAUCCAAGAGGAUGCAGUUUUGAUCCCUGGCCUUGAUCAGUGGGUUAAGAAUCCAGCUUUGCCAUGAGCUGUGAUGUAGGUCUAGGCUGGCAGCCGUAGCUCCAGUUCGACCCCUAGCCUGCCUGGGAAAUUCCAUAUGCCCCAGGUGUAGCCCUAAAAACAAAGCAAAAAAAAAAAAAUAAGGUCCCCUUCAAUCCCCAACUCAUUGCUUUCUGCCUCUAGUAACCACUGUCUUGGUUUAAAUAUAAUGACAUUUUGUAUUUAUUCGUAGUUUUCAUCCUAAUCAUGAAUACUACAUGAAUACUGUCUCUCACUAUCCAAAUUGUGUUGCAUUUGUAUUUUGCAAUUCAUAUAACUAAAAUUAUACUGUAUCGCCUUUUUUUUUUUUUUUUUUUUGACUUCUUUACUCAAAGUGUCCAGAGUUUUUAUUGGAGUUAAUACUAUGGAGAUGAAGUGCCUGUGUGACUGACAUAGAUACUUGGGCUCUGGUGCCU
rnacentral:lncRNA from 1 species